UGCGUAGGCGGAAUAUUAAGUCAGUGGUGAAAUCCUGCGGCUCAACCGUAGAACUGCCAUUGAUACUGAUAUUCUUGAAUGUAGUUGAGGUAGGCGGAAUGUGUACUGUAGCGGUGAAAUGCUUAGAUAUUACACAGAACACCGAUUGCGAAGGCAGCUUACUAAACUAUGAUUGACGCUGAGGCACGAAAGCGUGGGGAGCGUACAGGAUUAGAUACCCUGGUAGUCC
rnacentral:rRNA from 1 species